rfam:Danio rerio chromosome 4, GRCz11 reference primary assembly.
UUGGGUUAUGGUGAUAUGUACCCUCAAACGUGGUCUGGGAUGGUUGUGGGAGCGUUGUGUGCCCUCGCUGGCGUGCUCACGAUAGCGAUGCCGGUGCCGGUUAUCGUUAAUAAC